CAGUCGCCACGGUAAUACAGAGGGUGCGAGCGUUAAUCGGAUUUACUGGGCGUAAAGCGUGCGUAGGCGGCUAAUUGAGUCGGAUGUGAAAUCCCCGAGCUUAACUUGGGAAUUGCAUUCGAUACUGGUUAGCUAGAGUGUGGGAGAGGAUGGUAGAAUUCCAGGUGUAGCGGUGAAAUGCGUAGAGAUCUGGAGGAAUACCGAUGGCGAAGGCAGCCAUCUGGCAUAACACUGACGCUGAGGUACGAAAGCAUGGGGAGCAAACAGGAUUAGAUACCCCCGUAGUCCCUGUCUCUUAUAC
rnacentral:rRNA from 1 species